GAGAGGAGCUUGCUUUUCUGAUCUAGUGGCGGACGGGUGAGUAACACGUGAGCAAUCUGCCUUUCAGAGGGGGAUACCGAUUGGAAACGAUCGUUAAUACCGCAUAACAUAAUUGAACCGCAUGAUUUGAUUAUCAAAGAUUUAUCGCUGAAAGAUGAGCUCGCGUCUGAUUAGCUAGUUGGUAAGGUAACGGCUUACCAAGGCGACGAUCAGUAGCCGGACUGAGAGGUUGAUCGGCCACAUUGGGACUGAGACACGGCCCAGACUCCUACGGGAGGCAGCAGUGGGGAAUAUUGCACAAUGGAGGAAACUCUGAUGCAGCGAUGCCGCGUGAGGGAAGAAGGUUUUAGGAUUGUAAACCUCUGUCUUCAGGGACGAAAAAAGACGGUACCUGAGGAGGAAGCUCCGGCUAACUACGUGCCAGCAGCCGCGGUAAUACGUAGGGAGCGAGCGUUGUCCGGAAUUACUGGGUGUAAAGGGAGCGUAGGCGGGAUCGCAAGUCAGAUGUGAAAACUAUGGGCUUAACCCAUAAACUGCAUUUGAAACUGUGGUUCUUGAGUGAAGUAGAGGUAAGCGGAAUUCCUAGUGUAGCGGUGAAAUGCGUAGAUAUUAGGAGGAACAUCAGUGGCGAAGGCGGCUUACUGGGCUUUAACUGACGCUGAGGCUCGAAAGCGUGGGGAGCAAACAGGAUUAGAUACCCUGGUAGUCCACGCCGUANACGAUGAUUACUAGGUGUGGGGGNACUGACCCCUUCCGUGCCGCAGCAAACGCAAUAAGUAAUCCACCUGGGGAGUACGACCGCAAGGUUGAAACUCAAAGGAAUUGACGGGGGCC
rnacentral:rRNA from 1 species